UCUUGGGUGACGGUGAUCGCCGCCUCUUGGCGCUCCGGGUUGGAGCGUCUGGCGCCAUCUUGGAUGCGGUCAGCGUCGCCUGUGGCCUCCUUCGCCGGUGCCGCCGCGUCUGCCGUCUGGAGGCUUCGUGGUCCCUGAGUGUUUUCCGUCCUUAUAAGUGCCCUCUGCCUCCGUGACGGAUCGGGAGUAUGACGCCCUCGUUCUCCCUUCCCUCCUUGCUUCUGCCGAGGGCUCUGGCCUCGCCGCCGAGCACGUGACCAGCGGAAUAUAAACAGUUACUUGAGAGUAGAGGAUGUUUCUGAUGUAUUUUAGCAUCUCUGAGUGCCAGAAGAGUAGGGGCUUACCAUCAGGAUCAGGAUGUAUCUGGGUAGUCUCCAGCGAGUGGCAUGGGAAGAAAGAGAAGGGUUAAGAGAUUGAACAAACAGCGUGCACUGUGGUAUCCUUUAUUUAAAAACUGUGAGCUAACUACAGUUGUAGUGUUCUCAUUUACCAUUCUGAUGGCAUAAUAAACUGGGAGAACAUUAACACAAUUUCAAGACAUUAAAAACCUGUAGCAAACACACACCACACAUGCGCACACACAUGACAACACACAUGCACACGCAGAUUAUAGUCUAAACACAACUAAGUGAAGAAAAGCUUCAAAUGCUCUAAAUCAAAUUUUAAAACCCUUUAUUAUAAACUGUGGCAAUACCGUGGCUAUUAUGAAAAAAAGUUGUAACUGCUUAAAAAGCAAAAAGAAAAAUACUGGCAAAUUUGAAACUAGCAGCAAAAAGCAGAUAAAAAUAGAAUGGAAGGUAACAUAAGACUAAUAUCAAAGUUCUAAAGUUGAUACUGUGUAGGGUUGUACUGAAGUCAUUUCAGAUUGUUUCUUGAGGAACUAGUAAGAAGUCCCUUGAAAUAUGAAAUUGCUGCACUUUACAAACAGUGGAAAAGAAAAAGUAUUUGGAAUGUUACACACACACACACACACACACACAGAGAAAUGUAUUAGGCAUAUCAGUUUAUAGUCUUUGUUUAUGAC